rnacentral:rRNA from 1 species
AUGGAUCACGGCCUUAAGAUUGCUGUAUGGAAUGUGCGCGGCCUGAAUUCGCGGAGCCGGCGCACCGCCAUUCGCUCGCUGUUGGAUACCACCGCUGCCUCCAUUGUGUGCUUGCAGGAAACUAAGAUGGAGUUGCUUUGUUCGUCUGUUGUUCUUGACACCCUUGGUUCAGAGUUUGAUGACUACACAUACCUCCCGGCUCUUGGCACGCGGGGCGGCAUCUUACUGGCUUGGAAGAGCAGGGUCGUGACUAUCACGGACCCGUUGUUCACCACGAAUGCCCUCUCGGCCAAAGUGGCCACGGCCUCGGGCAUCCCUUGGUGGCUCUCUGUAGUGUAUGGACCCUAG